AUGCCCUCUGAAUUUGAGACUAGUGUUAAGGAGUUUAUGAGUUCACAAAAGAAUUUCAAUGCUUUGCUUGAAGAAAAAUUGCUCAAGGUUGAUGAAUUGGCUAGGAAAGUUGAUAGAAUUUCUCUUGAUGUUGAUUUUUUAGAACUUAGAUCUAUUCCACCUAAGAAUGAUAUCAAUGAGUCUCUCAAAGCCAUGAGAAUUUCCAUUGAUGAGUGCAAAGAAAGAACCGCUAGGAUGCGUGCUAAGAAAGAUUGCUUUGUGAAACAGUGUUCUUCUAGUUUCUAUGGAAAUAAAGAUGAAGAUGUAAAAGUUAUUGAUGUGUCUCCUAUUAAAUCUUUGUUUUGCAAUAUGAAUCUUGAUAAUUAUGGGACUGAAUAUGAGCCACCUUUACCUAGAAGGCGUUCCAAAAAUUCGGAGUCUUUAGAUCUUGAUGCAAAAAUUGGUACAAGUAAGAUUGAAGAGAUCAAAACUCUAGAUAUUAAUGAACCCACUAUUUUGGAUUUCAAGGAAUUUAAUUAUGAAAAUUGCUCUUUAAUAGAUUGUAUUUCCUUGUUGUAA
rnacentral:rRNA from 1 species